UCUGGUGAUAAUGCCGAAGGGGUUCCACCCGUUUCCAUCCCGAACACGGAAGUUAAGACCUUCAGGGCCGAUGAUACUUGGACUGCGAAGUCCUGGGAAAGUAGGACGUUGCCAGGU
rnacentral:rRNA from 1 species